CUACGGGGCGCUGCAGUGAGGAAUAUUGGACAAUGGGGGAAACCCUGAUCCAGCAAUGCCGCGUGAAUGAAGAAGGCCUUAGGGUUGUAAAGUUCUUUCACUCGUGAAGAUUAUGACGGUAACGAGAGAAGAAGCCCCGGCUAACUCUGUGCCAGCAGCCGCGGUAAGACAGAGGGGGCUAGCGUUGUUCGGAAUAACUGGGCGUAAAGGGUGCGUAGGCGGUUGUUUAAGUAAAGUGUAAAAGCCCUGGGCUUAACCCAGGAAUCGCAUUUUAAACUGGACAGCUAGAGUGUGGUAGAGGAAAGUGGAAUCCCUAGUGUAGAGGUGAAAUCCGUAGAUAUUAGGAGGAACACCAGAGGCGAAGGCGGCUUUCUGGACCAUUACUGACGCUGAGGCACGAAAGCGUGGGGAGCAAACAGGAUUAGAACCCGAGUAGUC
rnacentral:rRNA from 1 species